rnacentral:rRNA from 1 species
AUUGAACGCUGGCGGCAGGCCUAACACAUGCAAGUCGAACGGUAACAGGAAGAAGCUUGCUUCUUUGCUGACGAGUGGCGGACGGGUGAGUAAUGUCUGGGAAACUGCCUGAUGGAGUGGGAUAACUACUGGAAACGGUAUCUAAUACCGCAUAACGUCGCAAACCCAAAGAGGGUGACCUUCGUGCCUCUUGCCAUCGGAUGUGCCCAGAUGGGAUUAGCUAGUAGGUGGGGUAACGGCUCACCUAGGCGACGAUCCCUAGCUGGUCUGAGAGGAUGACCAGCCACACUGGAACUGAGACACGGUCCAGACUCCUACGGGAGGAAGCAGUGGGGAAUAUUGCACAAUGGGCGCAAGCCUGAUGCAGCCAUGCCGCGUGUAUGAAGACGGCGUUCGGGUUGUAAAGUACUUUCAACGGGGAGGAAGGGAGUAAAGUUAAUACCUUGGCUAAUUGACGUUACCCGCAGAAGAAGCACCGGCUAACUCCGUG